rnacentral:rRNA from 1 species
AUACGAAGGGGGCUAGCGUUGUUCGGAUUUACUGGGCGUAAAGCGCACGUAGGCGGAUUGAUUAGUUAGGGGAGAAAUCCCGAGGCUCAACCUCGGAACUGCCUCUAAAACUGUCAAUCUCGAGACCGGAAGAGGUGAGUGGAACUCCUAGUGUAGAGGUGGAAUUCGUAGAUAUUAGGAAGAACACCAGUGGCGAAGGCGGCUCACUGGUCCGGUACUGACGCUGAGGUGCGAAAGCGUGGGGAGCGAACAGGAUUAGAUACCCUAGUAGUCC